rnacentral:rRNA from 1 species
GUAGGGAAUAUUGCGCAAUGGACGAAGGUCUGACGCAGCGACGCCGCGUGAGUGAUGAAGGCCUUAGGGUCGUAAAGCUCUGUUGAAUGGGAAGAAAAAAAUGACGGUACCAUUCGAGGAAGGACCGGCUAACUUCGUGCCAGCAGCCGCGGUAAUACGAGGGGUCCUAGCGUUGUUCGGAAUCAUUGGGCGUAAAGGGUGUGUAGGUGGUCAUGUAAGUCAGGUGUGAAAGCCCCGGGCUCAACCCGGGAAGUGCACUUGAUACUGCGUGGCUUGAGUACCGAAGAGGGUAGUGGAAUUCCAGGUGUAGUGGUGAAAUACGUAGAUAUCUGGAGGAACACCGGUGGCGAAGGCGACUACCUGGUCGAGUACUGACACUGAGACACGAAAGCAUGGGGAUCAAACAGGAUUAGAUACCCGAGUAGUCC